CCUACGGGAGGCAGCAGUGAGGAAUAUUGGUCAAUGGGCGCGAGCCUGAUCCAGCCAAGUAGCGUGAAGGAUGACUGCCCUACGGGUUGUAAACUUCUUUUAUAAAGGAAUAAAGUGAGGCACGUGUGCCUUUUUGUAUGUACUUUAUGAAUAAGGAUCGGCUAACUCCGUGCCAGCAGCCGCGGUAAUACGGAGGAUCCGAGCGUUAUCCGGAUUUAUUGGGUUUAAAGGGAGCGUAGAUGGGUUGUUAAGUCAGUUGUGAAAGUUUGCGGCUCAACCGUAAAAUUGCAAUUGAUACUGGCAGUCUUGAGUACAGUUGAGGUAGGCGGAAUUCGUGGUGUAGCGGUGAAAUGCUUAGAUAUCACGAAGAACUCCGAUUGCGAAGGCAGCUUACUAAACUGCCACUGACAUUGAUGCUCGAAAGUGUGGGUAUCAAACAGGAUUAGAUACCCUAGUAGUC
rnacentral:rRNA from 1 species